ACUUAGAUAUCUUAAAUUUAAAGUUUAACUCUGAAGAAGUUAAUAUAGGUCUUGUUUACCUUCUAAGUA
rnacentral:tRNA from 1 species